GACGAACGAUGGCGGCGUGCUUAACACAUGCAAGUCGAGCGGAGCGGCGGACGGGUGAGUAAUGCCUAGGAAUCUGCCUGGUAGUGGGGGAUAACGUCCGGAAAAGGGCGCUAAUACCGCAUACUAUCAGAUGAGCCUAGGUGUGAUUAGCUAGUUGGUGGGGUAAAGGCCUACCAAGGCGACGAUCCGUAACUGGUCUGAGAGGAUGAUCAGUCACACUGGAACUUAGACACGGUCCAGACUCCUACGCGAGGCAGCAGUGGGGAAUAUUGGACAAUGGGCGAAAUCCUGAUCCAGCCAUGCCGGGUGUGUGAAGAAGGUCUUCUGAUUGUAAAGCACUUUAAGUUGGGAGGCGUUACCAACAGAAUAAGCACCGGCUAACUUCGUGCCAGCAGCCGCGGUAAUUC
rnacentral:rRNA from 1 species